CUCGUCCACGGCCUGCUCGUCCACCCGCCUACGAUCCUGACUUCGAGGCGGCCUUCGAAGCCUGCAAUGAAGCGUAUCAGCAGGCCGCUGCCCAGUGGAAUAGGCAGAAUACGGCCUAUAUGACGUAUAUAUCAGAAAUGAUGAUCUCUAUGUCUACUGGUACACCGCCACCGGCUCGAGUUACCGUGGCGGGGGACAUGCCUAUCAUGCCAUCGAGGGCAGCUUUCGCUGCGACUUACUACGGAUCCACACCGGAGGUAAGUUCUUUGCCAAACCGGUAGUUACCACUUUCCUUUGCCUCGCAAGUUGCUAACAUGUAGGGAACACGUAGGG